GAUGAAGAACGCAGCGAAAUGCGAUAAGUAAUGUGAAUUGCAGAAUUCCGUGAAUCAUCGAAUCUUUGAACGCACAUUGCGCCCCCUGGUAUUCCGGGGGGCAUGCCUGUCCGAGCGUCAUUACAACCUUCAAGCGCGGCUUGUGUGUUGGGUCUCGUCCCCCGUGGACGGGCCCGAAAGGCAGUGGCGGCGUCCCGACAUGGUGCCCGAGCGUAUGGGAAUCCUCUUCCGCUCGAAUCGGCCCAUGCGGCGCUGGUCGUAACCAAAUUUUUUACCGGUUGACCUCGGAUCAGGUAGGGAUACCCGCUGAACUUAAGCAUAUCAAUAAGCGGAGGA
rnacentral:misc_RNA from 1 species